rnacentral:rRNA from 1 species
GGAUCAGACUGUCGGUCGUGCCUCGGUACGCACUGGCAUUAUUGGUUCCUACCUUCUGAAGAACCGCGAUGUCAUUAAUUUGGUGUCGUGGGGAAUCAGGACUGUUACUUUGAAAAAAUUAGAGUGUUUAAAGCAGGCUAUCGCUUGAAUACAUUAGCAUGGAAUAAUAGAAUAGGACUU